rnacentral:rRNA from 1 species
GAUGAACGCUAGCUACAGGCUUAACACAUGCAAGUCGCGGGGCAGCAUGGGGGUUGCUUGCAACCCCUGAUGGCGACCGGCGCACGGGUGAGUAACGCGUAUCCAACCUGCCCUUCACCACGGGAUAACCCGGCGAAAGUCGGAAUAAUACCGUAUGUUGUCCAUUGACGGCAUCCGAUUUGGACGAAAUGCUUGGCGGUGAAAGGAUGGGGAUGCGUCCGAUUAGCUUGACGGCGGGGUAACGGCCCACCGUGGCUACGAUCGGUAGGGGUUCUGAGAGGAAGGUCCCCCACACUGGAACGGAGACACGGUCCAGACUCCUACGGGAGGCAGCAGUGAGGAAUAUUGGUCAAUGGGCGUAAGCCUGAACCAGCCAAGUAGCGUGCAGGAUGACGGCCCUAUGGGUUGUAAACUGCUUUUAUGCGGGGAUAAAGUGGCCCACGUGUGGGCUUUUGCAGGUACCGCAUGAAUAAGGACCGGCUAAUUCCGUG